GGAAGCAGCUGAAGAUCAUCGAGUCUCAGGAGUGGGGUGAGGAUUCACCGUCAGUGAACGUCUGAGUCAGGGUUCCUCCUCGUGUCAUGUGACCAUGAGUUUCACCGACUUGUCUCCAAACAGUCGUCACGCCGGAUCUGAAGAGCUCAUUGGUCAAAGUGUUGGGUCUGUUGAAGGACGCAGCUGAGAGCUUCUCCAAGGACUCGUGUGUGCGUCAGGCGACUCGCUGUGUCCUCACAGCUAAGCUAGUCGCUCUUCAGCUCCACUUCCUGAACCAGGGCUCAGACGUACGUGUCAUCAACCUGCGACCUGCGGUGCUGCUGAACACGCUCGUCCAGCUGCCGCGAUGCUACCAGGUGUUUGUGGUGUCGGAGGCGUACGGCGUCAGUCCCGACUGGGCCGAGGUUCUGUUCCAGAAGGUGAUUCUGAAAGGAGACUUCGUUUACCUGGAGGAGCUGAAACGCCACCGCCC